UGGCGAUGAGGAAAGAAGGCGAGGAAACGGUGAAAAAAUGAUUGUUAGAGGAAAUGGCGUACUACACGUGAGAAUCGAGCACUAUCUUUUUCAAGGAAGAGAGUGCGGGCGGGCAUUUAUCUCGCGGAAAAAAUGAUACUUGCAAGUAAACGGGAAGAACUGAGAGCAGGGUUUUUGUCGAAGACGUCAGGGGCUUUCAGGGGCUUUUUUGACUGUGUUGAAACUUCUCUUCAUCAUUCUACCACUAAUAGCUGCAAAACUUCUGAGCAAAUUCACCAAUUAAGAUUGUCAGAAGUGCUUGAGUGACUGUGAAGUCAAUGCUUGUGACCAGAGAAAAAUCGAUUACAAUACCAGGAGGG